CUGGUCUAACCUAUUCAUGACAGGUCUGGUCUAACCUAUUCAUGACAGGUCUGGUCUAACCUAUUCAUGACAGGUCUGGUCUAACCUAUUCCUGACAGGCCUGGUCUAACCUAUUCAUGACAGGCCUGGUCUAACCUAUUCAUGACAGGUUUGGGUAAAUAACAGGAGAAAUGUGAUAACUAAAACACCAGAGAACUGGGGAGAAAAUAGGAGUCAACAUCAUAAACUGACUGACAUACAAUGAGUGUACAAAACAUUAAGAACACCUUCCUGAUAUUGACCCCUCCCCCCUUUUGCCCUCAGAACAGCCUCAAUUUGUCGGGGUAUGGACUCUACAACGUGUUGAAAGUGUUCCACAGGGAUGCAGUUGUGUCAAGUCGGCUGGAUGUCCUUUGGUUGGUUAACCAUUCUUGAUACACACGGGAAACUGUUGAGCGUGAAAAACCCAGCAGCGUUGCAGUUCUUGACACAACGGUGCGCCCGGCACCUACUGCCAUACCCCCUACCAUACCCACUACCAUACCCUGUUCAAAGACACAUUUUUCUUGCCCACUCACCCUCUGAAUGUCCCACAUACACGAUCCAUGUCUCAAUUGUCUCAAGUCUUAAAAAUCCUUCUUUAACCACUGAUUGAAAUGGAUUUAACAAGUGACAUCAAUAAGGGAUAAUAGCUUUCACCUGGUCAGUCUAGGGGCGGCAGGUAGGCUAGUGGUUAGAGCGUUGGACUAGUAACCAAAAGGUUGCAAGAUCAAAUCCCAGAGCUGACAAGGUGAAAAUCUGGCGUCCUGUUCCUAGGCCGUCAUUGAAAAUAAGAAUUUGUUCUUAACUGACUUGCCUAGUAAAAUAAAUGUCAUGGAAAGAACAGGUGUUCAUAAUGUUUUGUACACUCAGUGUAUAUGUAAAUAAAUGAAAUGUAAACACACAUUGAAAUGAAUUGCAAACCCAUUGAAGUGAAUGUAAUGUAUUUCAAUACAGGGUAUUACAUCUGUAAAAACUAAUCAAUCACUCACCACCAGCAUUUACUACAGGACUGAGUUCACGUCUCCGUGUUUCACAGCUGUGUUGUGAUUGGAUACGUUUUGCAGUUCUAGGCUCUCAUUGGAUGAUUUUGCUAGUUGUGGGCUUUCAUCUCACUCUGUGUCACUUGUUCUCAUUGAGUUAUUUGUUGUAAAUGGUCGCCAGCUGUUACUGUGUUAGAAUGUCCUAUUAGGUCUCUGUUCUGUCUGUCACUCUGUCAGACUGUCCUAGCAGGUCUCUGUUCUGACUGUCACUCUGUCAGACUGUCCUAGCAGGUCUCUGUUCUAUCUGUCACUGUGUCAGACUGUCCUAGCAGGUCUCUGUUCUGACUGUCCUAGCAGGACUGUUCUGUCUGUCCUAGCAGGUCUCUGUUCUGACUGUCCUAGCAGGUCUCUGUUCUGACUGUCCUAGCAGGUCUCUGUUCUGACUGUCCUAGCAGGUCUCUGUUCUGACUGUCCUAGCAGGUCUCUGUUCUGACUGUCCUAGCAGGUCUCUGUUCUGACUGUCCUAGCAGGUCUCUGUUCUGACUGUCCUAGCAGGUCUCUGUUCUGACUGUCCUAGCAGGUCUCUGUUCUGACUGUCACUGUGUCAGACUGUUCUAGCAGGUCUCUGUUCUGACUGUCACUGUGUCAGACUGUCCUAGCAGGUCUCUGUUCUGACUGUCCUAGCAGGUCUCUGUUCUGACUGUCCUAGCAGGUCUCUGUUCUGACUGUCCUAGCAGGUCUCUGUUCUGACUGUCCUAGCAGGUCUCUGUUCUGACUGUCACUGUGUCAGACUGUUCUAGCAGGUCUCUGUUCUGACUGUCACUGUGUCAGACUGUCCUAGCAGGUCUCUGUUCUGACUGUCCUAGCAGGUCUCUGUUCUGACUGUCCUAGCAGGUCUCUGUUCUGACUGUCCUAGCAGGACUCUGUUCUGACUGUCCUAGCAGGACUCUGUUCUGACUGUCCUAGCAGGUCUCUGUUCUGACUGUCCUAGCAGGACUCUGUUCUGACUGUCCUAGCAGGUCUCUGUUCUGACUGUCCUAGCAGGACUCUGUUCUGACUGUCCUAGCAGGUCUCUGUUCUGACUGUCCUAGCAGGUCUCUGUUCUGACUGUCCUAGCAGGUCUCUGUUCUGACUGUCCUAGCAGGUCUCUGUUCUGACUGUCCUAGCAGGUCUCUGUUCUGACUGUCCUAGCAGGACUCUGUUCUGACUGUCCUAGCAGGUCUCUGUUCUGACUGUCCUAGCAGGUCUCUGUUCUGACUGUCCUAGCAGGACUCUGUUCUGACUGUCCUAGCAGGUCUCUGUUCUGACUGUCCUUGCAGGUCUCCACAGCAUUCUGGGAGUACUGUUCUGUCUGUAAAGUGAAAUCCCCUGGUUGCUCGUUUUAUGUUUUCUAUUGUAAACAAUGAGAUGCUUUUGGAAUAAAAGUCUAAAGCAAAACAUUCCA
rnacentral:lncRNA from 1 species